GACUACAUAGCUCAGUGGUAAGAGCACUGAUUUUGUAAACCAGGGGUCGUGAGUUCAAAUCUCAUUGGAGCCU
rnacentral:tRNA from 1 species